UCUAAUGUGUGUUCAGGUUUUCUAUAGGCUAACAGGUUACUUUGGUCAGUGAUGCCUGUAGGACAGUGAUUGAGAUGCUACUCAAAUAUAUUUGGAAGUUCUGAUGAAAUGAUUUAAGCAAUAACAUCACCCACCUGAGAUCACUGGUUUUGCUGAUUCUUUCUCCUUGAAAGUGCUAUGACUACAGUUAGGAAGGCUAAGAUAUCAUCUUAAUACUGCGAAGAGAAAUACCUCAAAAGAAGUUCAUUUUAUGAUACAUAUUCAUCCCAGAACCUGGUGUUAUGGGGUGGGACCAUAACUCCCCUAAGACCUCCACGUGAAUUUUGCAACCCAGAUCUUGUCUGAAGAUCUCAGCUGAGAGGAGAAGCUGGAGAACCAGUGAAAUUUAAGUUCCCUCUAAUGAAUGGAGUACUAGGUGGAAGGAAAGAGUAUUUUCAGCUGUAGUGAUUUCAAUGUAUCGUCAAUCAUUAACUGCAUUGUUUUUGUUUGGGGCUGUUUCCACCAUUAAUUCUCCUCUUUGUUCCUUGACUCUCAUGUUGAAGGACCAACAGUACCUUAUCUGCAAGUGAAGGGUGAAACAGUGAAAUGAUUUAAUUCUUGAGCAGCACAGACUGCAAAAGGAGGCAAAGACUUGCAAUGACUGUCCAUCUCCACCUGCUGAACAGAUGCAGCAGGCAAAGGGAAUUUUGGAAAGGAACUUGUGAUGUGCACUUUGGACUGAAAUCAAAUCUUGAAAUAGUGAUGUGUCAGGAGAAGCAGAAGCCUUACACUCUGAGUGCAAUUGUAAAACUUUCUGCUGCAGCUUCUAAUCAGGAAAAAGGGCAUGGGUCAGGUGGAAGUGUUUUGGAAAGUGACGCUCACAGAGCUGUAUUCCAGUAUAAAUUACAAUCAGCAAUAAUUCUAUGCUUGAGAAAUUUCUAAACAUCAUAUCCUGCAACCUGCUAUUCUCCUCUGCUCCAAAAAAAGAAACAACACAAAAUCUAUUCCCCUGAUCAAGAAGGUCUUUGUCUCUUUUGAAUCUUCUGAAGAAAGUUGUAAGAGUCCCAGGAGUGUUUGAAAUUAACCACCAUAUAAUAGAGAUGAGCUGCAUUUCCAACCACUCGUUUCAACUACUGUAGCAAAAAAAAUGUUAAAAAACCUUCCCUGUUCUGGGACAGAAAUGCUCUUCUGCAGUAAUUAAUUCAAUCAAUUGUUAACAGACAAAUAUCCUCAUAAAUCAAAGCAACCUGUGGAAGUUCCAGUGUGGAAAUUGCAAGAAGAUAUAUCAGUGGCAAAAGUUGUUUUACUGUGAGAUUCGACGUUGCCUCUGACUGCUUGGGAGGAGUUGAUGUGUGGACUUAAACCUUCUGCUCGUUCUCCCCAUGACUUGCAUGUUUCUCUCUUAAAUGUGGGGCUGGCCCAAAAACUCCUACCCCAUGGGAUGAUUUGGGAUGAAAGAAGUGCACUGAACUCUGUUUCAAAGCAACUACAGGAAAUUGGUCAAUGCAGUCUGUAUGCUAAGUGAUUAUUUGUGUAAUUUAAGUGCAAAUUAAGAAAAUCAUAAGUAAAGGUAUGUCUCUGUUGGGGUUCUAGACAUUCCUUAGAGAUCCUCCCCAAGCUUAUGUACCAAAAAGGCAAGAUCUGAACAGC